CAGCCGCCACGGUAAUACGAAGGGUGCAAGCGUUAAUCGGAAUUACUGGGCGUAAAGCGUGCGUAGGCGGUGAGUUAAGUCUGCUGUGAAAUCCCCGGGCUCAACCUGGGAAUGGCAGUGGAUACUGGCUCGCUAGAGUGUGUCAGAGGAUGGUGGAAUUCCCGGUGUAGCGGUGAAAUGCGUAGAGAUCGGGAGGAACAUCAGUGGCGAAGGCGGCCAUCUGGGACAACACUGACGCUGAGGCACGAAAGCGUGGGGAGCAAACAGGAUUAGAUACACCAGUAGUCCCUGUCUCUUAUAC
rnacentral:rRNA from 1 species